GCCUUCGUUCACUGCCCCCUUCCUCUGUAUCCCUGCUCUGUCAUGGCGGUUGCACUUGACCAACUGUCGACCACCAACUGACUUCUCCUUCCUUCGAUGGGCUGUCAAUCACGCUCCCAGCAUUCUAUUCUCUCCCCACCUGGCCUCCUGACCACGCAAUCUCAUGCAUGAAAGAGUACACGUUCUCAUCUAGAGCCCAUGACUUCACACACAGCAAGAAGAGAAAUCAACAAUAAUUUUCAAGCCUGACAAAGACAAGGUACCAGGAACCUGAGAAAUGGGAGGUAGGGAAGAUUUGUGUGAAGACACAGACAAUCCCUUGAAGAGCCACAGUUACAGGUCCAGUUGAAGUAUUUGACCUCAAGGGUGAGACAGGAUGCUGGAGAUAUCUAAAUCUGCCUGUCACUAGAUGAUGAAGAAAGACAGGUCACAGUUGCCUCAGCACACAAGGCUGACACAAGGAUAUGAUCAAGGGUUGUUGUAUUCCUCAAAUGACAGAUGUAUAUUACUCAGUAAGUAAUGAAUAUAUCUUUUCUUGUCCAAACUUAACCCUGUCCAUAACAAAUAAUUUGAAACUCAUGCUUUUACAUUUAUAUUCACUAAAAAAAGGCCUCAAAAUCAUUUUCAUCUUAGACCAAUUUUCAGUUAUACAGGUUCUAAUAAUACUAAACAAUUUUUCUAUAUACAAUAUCUACAGAUCUUCCACAAAUUACAACAUACAC